rnacentral:pre_miRNA from 1 species
AGUUGAAAUUUAUUUAUAGGCAUCCCUUAAGAAAAGAUUUUAUGAAAAUCGUCCCCUACCCGGGGGUGCUUGGAAUUCAAAUUUUUUACAUAAAAUGUU